CAGUAGCCGCGGGAAUACGUAGGGUCCGAGCGUUGUCCGGAAUUACUGGGCGUAAAGAGCUCGUAGGUGGUUUGUCGCGUUGUUCGUGAAAACUCACAGCUCAACUGUGGGCGUGCGGGCGAUACGGGCAGACUAGAGUACUGCAGGGGAGACUGGAAUUCCUGGUGUAGCGGUGGAAUGCGCAGAUAUCAGGAGGAACACCGGUGGCGAAGGCGGGUCUCUGGGCAGUAACUGACGCUGAGGAGCGAAAGCGUGGGGAGCGAACAGGAUUAGAUACCCCCGUAGUCCCUGUCUCUUAUAC
rnacentral:rRNA from 1 species